UACGGAGGGGGCCAGCGUUGUUCGGAAUUAUUGGGCGUAAAGGGCGCGUAGGCGGUCGAGUAAGUCUGACGUGAAAUCCCUUGGCUCAACCAAGGAACUGCGUCUUAAACUGCUCGGCUUGAGUCCGGGAGAGGGUAGUGGAAUUCCCAGUGUAGCGGUGAAAUGCGUAGAUAUGCGGAGGAACACCGAUGGCGAAGGCAGGUCUCUGGGCUGACACUGACGCUCAUGCACGAAAGCGUGGGGAGCAAACAGG
rnacentral:rRNA from 1 species